UAGUCCACGCCCUAAACGAUGCUUACUCGAUAUCUGCGUUUACGUGGGUGUCCAAGGGAAACCGUUAAGUAAGCCACCUGGGGAGUACGUUCGCAAGAAUGAAACUCAAAGGAAUUGACGGGGGUCCGCACAAGCGGUGGAUGAUGUGGAUUAAUUCGAUGCAACGCGAAAAACCUUACCUACACUUGACAUGUCAGGAACUUUCAAGAGAUUGAUUGGUGCCCGAAAGGGAACCUGAACACAGGUGCUGCAUGGCUGUCGUCAGCUCGUGUCGUGAGAUGUUGGGUUAAGUCCCGCAACGAGCGCAACCCUUAUCCUUAGUUGCUACGCAAGGGCACUCUAAGGAGACUGCCGGUGACAAACCGGAGGAAGGUAAGGAUGACGUCAAGUCAGCAUGCCCCUUACGCUCUGGGCUACACACGUGCUACAAUGGUCGUGACAAAGAGUUGCUAGUCUGCGAAGGCAAGCCAAUCUCAUAAACGCGGCCUUAGUUCGGAUUGCAGG
rnacentral:rRNA from 1 species